rnacentral:rRNA from 1 species
UUGAUCCUGGCUCAGAUUGAACGCUGGCGGCAGGCUUAACACAUGCAAGUCCAGCGGAGUGAUGGUGCUUGCACUAUCACUUACCGGCGGACGGGUGAGUAAUGCUUAGGAAUCUGCCAUUUAGUGGGGGACAACAUUCCGAAAGGAAUGCUAAUACCGCAUACGUCCUACGGGAGAAAGCAGGGGAUCUUCGGACCUUGCGCUAAAUGAUGAGCCUAAGUCGGAUUAGCUAGUUGGUGGGGUAAAGGCCUACCAAGGCGACGAUCUGUAGCGGGUCUGAGAGGAUGAUCCGCCACACUGGGACUGAGACACGGCCCAGACUCCUACGGGAGGCAGCAGUGGGGAAUAUUGGACAAUGGGCGGAAGCCUGAUCCAGCCAUGCCGCGUGUGUGAAGAAGGCCUUUUGGUUGUAAAGCACUUUAAGCGAGGAGGAGGCUACCUGGAUUAAUACUCUAGGAUAGUGGACGUUACUCGCAGAAUAAGCACCGGCUAACUCUGUGCCAGCAGCCGCGGUAAUACAGAGGGUGCGAGCGUUAAUCGGAUUUACUGGGCGUAAAGCGUGCGUAGGCGGCUUUUUAAGUCGGAUGUGAAAUCCCCGAGCUUAACUUGGGAAUUGCAUUCGAUACUGGGAAGCUAGAGUAUGGGAGAGGAUGGUAGAAUUCCAGGUGUAGCGGUGAAAUGCGUAGAGAUCUGGAGGAAUACCGAUGGCGAACGCAGCCAUCUGGCCUAAUACUGACGCUGAGGUACGAAAGCAUGGGGA